ensembl:lncRNA ZRANB2-DT ZRANB2 divergent transcript
GAGGCGGAAGUGACUGAUCAAUUCAGGGGCGUGGGGUUCGUUUAGGUUUUGCCCUGUGUAUGACCUCGUUUGGAGCCAUGAAACCAGAGUUUCGCUCUUUUUGACCAAGCUGGAGUGCAAUGGCGUGAUCUCGGCUCGCUGCAAUCUCUGCCUUCCAGGUUCAAGUGAUUCUCCUGCCUCAGCCUUCUGAGUAGUUGGGAUUACAGGAAGCUCUUCCACGAGUUCACGAAUGGAAAUAACAUCAAGAGUUUUUCAUCUUCUUAGUGUGCAAGAUGUCUGAGGAAUAGUCUUAGUGGAUUAUCCCAAACUUGACACAUUUUUUGCAAAAUGCUAUACAAAAAGAAGAUACAUGCGAUUAUGACAAGAUUCUCCACUUGGUGUGACCAGUCUCAUACAACCCAAGGCUGUGUGUCCAAAGGCAACUGUACUGAUCUUGACAAUAAUCAAAAGGUAGCCAGGUGCAUCGGGGAAAGCACUGACAUUGGAGUCAGACAGACUGAAGUUCAUAUCUGAUUCUGCUAUAUGACAACGUGUGGGCUAUGUGGCUAACUUCUCAGAGCUUCAGUUUUCUCAAGGGCAAAAUGAAAAUAAUAGAAAUAAUAGAAUCCACCUCACAGGGCUGUGGUGAGAAUUGGAGAUGAAGCACAUACAGCAUAUUACAUCAACUAAACACAUGCUAAGUACUCAACAGCUACUAACAUUAUUAUUCCUCUUAUAUGUACUGUAAAUAUUUGUAUUAAUGGACAAAUAGUCAUUCAUGUGUAUAUAUAGCUGUGUUUUAUUAGCUAAAUACUGUACUAAAUGCUAGGAAAACAAGAAUAUUGUCCCUUCCAAGGCCUUUUUUUGGUGAGAAAAGAUCUUCAAACAAUUAUAAUACAGAAUAUUAGAGUUGCAUGUGCAUACCCAGUAACACAGACAAAUUGUGCUUUUAAAUUGCCUGGGUAAGGGAGAUUUCAAAUACAGUUUUACUAAAGGAGACUAUCAUGUGGGUAGAAGAAAUAACAUAUUCGAAGGCAUAAUAAAAGGACAGAGCAAGGUGUGUCGUAUAGAAUAUAAAGGUAGAUUUAGUCUUGCUGGACCAUGAAGUUUGAGGCCCGAAGUGGAGGGAAUUGAAACUAGACCUCUAGACAGGUAGAAUGACCUCUACUGUAAUGAAAAAGGGACUAGGUUUUUAUAUUGAAAGACAUUUUGAAGAAUUUGGAGAGUUGAAUGUAUGACUACAUUUAUACAUCAGAAAUAUUACAGUCUUAUAUAUGGGGAAGUUCACAUGGUACUUGGCUAACAGUCAUGUUGAAUUUUCACUGAAUACCUGAAAAUUCACCAAGUUUGGGAUAUUAUUGGAGUGUUUGGAAUGGGUUUCACUUUGUUUAUGAACAGACAGUUGCCUAGUUGUAGUGAAUUAUAUUGUGUUCCAGAAAUUAAAUGUUACAGCCGUGCUUGGACUUGUUUGAGACUGAUUCUCAUUUACCAUAAUAAUAAUAAUAAUUGUAAUAACAAAAAACCUGCCAAUAUAUUUUAACCACCUUUUCUUAAUGAAACCUGGAUUUCAAGCACUAUUUCCUAGUAGAAAUUGAAUAAUGUAGUAAAGAAAUCGACUACUUCAUUUCUAAAUUUAUAACUCAAAUCCAGGAGCAGGUUUAGUCACACUGAGUCUGAAUUGCCAGCAGAUAGUUUUAAUGAAAUGUUCACAAAUGACUAUAUUGCUACGUAACAAGAAUAAUAAAUUCUGCUGUUUACACUUCCAAGAAAUUAAAGGGGAUGAAAGAUACAUUGGUCCCUGCAGUGGGAAGUUUCCUUGACAAUGCAAUUAUUGAUUCCAGGUGAGUGGGAUUUGAACACUGAGACUACUAUUUUUUAAUAAACAAAGAGCAAAAUUAACUAUUUAAUGCAUGUGUAUAAUUACAAAUGAGUUUUUUAAAAAAUAAAAAGACAAAGAAAGUAAGUCUAUUGUUGAACAGAGAGCUUUUCAAUUUCUGAUGUAUAUGAAGUCUAAUUUAAAGCUAUGGAACUCCUCAUUGUCCCCUUUUCUAGACCUAGAAAAAUAUUUUAAAAAUACAAAUUAAUCUUUAUUUAAUAUAUGACCUUCUCAAUAGUAGUUAUGCUAGAGUUGUUUUUCAAGAAUGUCAAGUGUAAUAAAACUUGUAUAAUGGUAAAGGACCAAAAAUAUGUAA